CCUACGGGAGGCAGCAGUGGGGAAUAUUGCGCAAUGGACGAAAGUCUGACGCAGCAACGCCGCGUGAGGGAUGACGGCCUUCGGGUUGUAAACCUCUUUCAGCAGGGACGAAGCGAGAGUGACGGUACCUGCAGAAGAAGGACCGGCCAACUACGUGCCAGCAGCCGCGGUAAUACGUAGGGUCCGAGCGUUGUCCGGAAUUAUUGGGCGUAAAGGGCUCGUAGGCGGUUCGUCACGUCGGGAGUGAAAACUCGGAGCUCAACUCCGAGCCUGCUUCCGAUACGGGCAGACUAGAGGUAGGCAGGGGAGAGCGGAACUCCUGGUGUAGCGGUGGAAUGCGCAGAUAUCAGGAAGAACACCGGUGGCGAAGGCGGCUCUCUGGGCCUUACCUGACGCUGAGGAGCGAAAGCGUGGGUAGCGAACAGGAUUAGAUACCCUGGUAGUCCACGCCGUAAACGUUGGGCGCUAGGUGUGGGGGACAUUCCACGUCCUCCGUGCCGCAGCUAACGCAUUAAGCGCCCGCCUGGGGAGUACGGCCGCAAGGCUAAAACUCAAAUGAAUUGACGG
rnacentral:rRNA from 1 species